CUGGUUGAUCCUGCCAGUUUUGGUACUCUCAAUUUGGAGCUUAAGCCAUGCAUACUACUGACUGCGUACCCGGCAACGGGUAGAGCUAUCAGCGUGCACGGCUCAGUAGAUCGAUGGGAUGAAGGAGCAGUGCUACGCUCUCAGGUGAUAACCACGGAAACACUGUGGCUAAUACCGUUCCUGCCCACUCUUCGGAGUGGAGACCCCGCCGGACUGCGUUCUCCCGCGGCCACCGCGUGUGGCCCGGGGGGGAAGGGAGCUCCGCCGGAGGGGAACACGAAGUAUUAAUCGGUCGAACCUCUGCCAGCCGGUUCGCCUUAUCAUUGUCUGGUAACUUGAACUCUACUAGUCACGGCUAUAACGGGUAACGGAGGGUGAAAGCUUGAUGCCGGAGAGGUAGCCUGAGACACGGCUGCCACUUCUAAGGAAGGCAGCAGGCGCGAAAAUUACCCCAAUCUGUGCGGUUGGGGGAGGUAGUUACGCAAAAUACCGACUCCGUACCCACGAGACGGGUAUGGCUUGAGGAAUGUGAGACGCCCAAGCCAUGGCAGGUAACGCUACUGGAGGGCAAGUCUGGU
rnacentral:rRNA from 1 species